rnacentral:rRNA from 1 species
UGGGGAAUUUUGGACAAUGGGCGCAAGCCUGAUCCAGCCAUGCCGCGUGCGGGAAGAAGGCCUUCGGGUUGUAAACCGCUUUUGUCAGGGAAGAAAUCUUCUGAGUUAAUACCUCGGGAGGAUGACGGUACCUGAAGAAUAAGCACCGGCUAACUACGUGCCAGCAGCCGCGGUAAUACGUAGGGUGCAAGCGUUAAUCGGAAUUACUGGGCGUAAAGCGUGCGCAGGCGGUUUUGUAAGACAGAGGUGAAAUCCCCGGGCUCAACCUGGGAACUGCCUUUGUGACUGCAAGGCUUGAGUGCGGCAGAGGGGGAUGGAAUUCCGCGUGUAGCAGUGAAAUGCGUAGAUAUGCGGAGGAACACCGAUGGCGAAGGCAAUCCCCUGGGCCUGCACUGACGCUCAUGCACGAAAGCGUGGGGAGCAAACAGGAUUAGAUAGCCCUGGUAGUCCACGCCCUAAACGAUGUCAACUGGUUGUUGGGAAGGUUCCUUCUCAGUAACGUAGCUAACGCGUGAAGUUGACCGCCUGGGGAGUACGGCCGC